rnacentral:tRNA from 1 species
GCGCUUGUAGCUCAGUUGGAUAGAGUGCUACCUACCGAAGGUAGAAGUCUCAGGUUCGAUUCCUGACAAGCGCA